rnacentral:lncRNA from 1 species
UUAAUUUGUAAAUUUGGCAUAAUUUUGCAAUUUAACAUAAGAGUUUACAUAUUGUGCAAGAUAGUACAUGCAAAUAUUGGUGUGCAAAAAGUUUUCAUAUUUUUUUGUUUUCGUUGAAGUAUGAAAAUAAGCCAAUUUCCAUUCGUUCAUAUUUGAUAACUAACGUUUUCACACAAAUUAAAUGUAGAUGAAACUGCAUUGAAAGGUUAAGAUUUAUUUUUCAUUUAGUAACAUUAUAAUUGAAAACAAAUAAUUGUCCAUGUUUCAAAUCAUGAACCCCUUAUAUUCCACAGUCACUGGAAUUUCUGUUCAGGAAUAUGUGUCCUUCCUGUAACUAUUUAUUUGAAAACGGAAUAAAACUUGUUUCUCUCUUCAAUAACGGCGGUUUUUUAUGGUGUCAUCGUAGGCGUGGAUACACGGCGUAACGACAUGGUGAAAAUUUUGAUGUGAAAAGAUUUUGGUUAUCAGAAUAAAAAGAUCAGUAAGUACUGAUGUAUGCGUACCUUUAUAUAAUGUCUUUAAUGUUACCAGUUGAUUGAUACUUUUUAAUUGCAGAAGACUAAUAAAACGUUUGUUAUUGUAACUUGG